UCUAGUGGCGGACGGGUGAGUAACGCGUGGGUAACCUGCCUUAUACAGGGGGAUAACAGUCAGAAAUGGCUGCUAAUACCGCAUAAGCGCACAGAGCUGCAUGGCUCAGUGUGAAAAACUCCGGUGGUAUAAGAUGGACCCGCGUUGGAUUAGCUUGUUGGUGGGGUAACGGCCCACCAAGGCGACGAUCCAUAGCCGGCCUGAGAGGGUGAACGGCCACAUUGGGACUGAGACACGGCCCAGACUCCUACGGGAGGCAGCAGUAGGGAAUUUUCGUCAAUGGGGGGAACCCUGAACGAGCAAUGCCGCGUGAGUGAAGAAGGUCUUCGGAUCGUAAAGCUCUGUUGUAAGAGAAAAACGACAUUCAUAGGGAAUGAUGAGUGAGUGAUGGUAUCUUACCAGAAAGUCACGGCUAACUACGUGCCAGCAGCCGCGGUAAUACGUAGGUGGCGAGCGUUAUCCGGAAUGAUUGGGCGUAAAGGGUGCGUAGGUGGCAGAACAAGUCUGGAGUAAAAGGUAUGGGCUCAACCCGUACUGGCUCUGGAAACUGUUCAGCUAGAGAACAGAAGAGGACGGCGGAACUCCAUGUGUAGCGGUAAAAUGCGUAGAUAUAUGGAAGAACACCGGUGGCGAAGGCGGCCGUCUGGUCUGUUGCUGACACUGAAGCACGAAAGCGUGGGGAGCAAAUAGGAUUAGAUACCCUAGUAGUCCACGCCGUAAACGAUGAGAAACUAGGUGUUGGGGGAAUAACUCAGUGCCGCAGUUAACGCAAUAAGUUCUCCGCCUGGGGAGUAUGCACGCAAGUGUGAAACUCAAAGGAAUUGACGGGGGCCCGCACAAGCGGUGGAGUAUGUGGUUUAAUUCGAAGCAACGCGAAGAACCUUACCAGGCCUUGACAUCCCUUGCAGAGGUAUAGAGAUAUAUCCGAGGUUAUCGAGGAGACAGGUGGUGCAUGGUUGUCGUCAGCUCGUGUCGUGAGAUGUUGGGUUAAGUCCCGCAACGAGCGCAACCCUUAUGGUCAGUUACUACGCAAGAGGACUCUGGCCAGACUGCCGUUGACAAAACGGAGGAAGGUGGGGAUGACGUCAAAUCAUCAUGCCCUUUAUGACUUGGGCUACACACGUACUACAAUGGCGUUAAACAAAGAGAAGCAAGACCGCGAGGUGGAGCAAAACUCAGAAACAACGUCCCAGUUCGGACUGCAGGCUGCAACUCGCCUGCACGAAGUCGGAAUUGCUAGUAAUCGUGGAUCAACAUGCCACGGUGAAUACGUUCCCGGGCCUUGCACACACAAGCCGUCAA
rnacentral:rRNA from 1 species